rnacentral:piRNA from 1 species
UCUUAUCAAGAGAAAUAUGAAAUACAUCAC